CACCAAACCAAAAGUCUCCCUCUCUUCUUCCUCAAAUCCAAGUUUUCUCUCAAGAUCCUUCUCCCACCGUCUCUCACCCUCUAAAUUGCCCUCUUGGAAACAAGUUCCUCCCCUUCUUCUUCUUCAUUUGGAGCAAUUCGAGCUUACCCUAGACUCUAUCCAUCUCCUCCAAAAUCGGUACAUCACUUCUCCAAAAUCUUUAUCUUUCCACUAAAAACCCUUCAUCUCUCCCUCAUAUUUGCUCUUCUAAGUUCCGUGCUAGUCC
rnacentral:lncRNA from 1 species